rnacentral:rRNA from 1 species
AGGACGAACGCUGGCGGCGUGCUUAACACAUGCAAGUCGAGCGGAAAGGCCCUUCGGGGUACUCGAGCGGCGAACGGGUGAGUAACACGUGAGUAAUCUGCCCCUAGCUCUGGGAUAGCUCCGGGAAAACCGGGAUUAAUACCAGAUACAACCACUUUAGACAUCUCUUGUGGUGGAAAGAAUUUCGGCUAGGGAUGGACUCGCGGCCUAUCAGCUUGUUGGUGAGGUAACGGCUCACCAAGGCGACGACGGGUA